rnacentral:rRNA from 1 species
CGGGUGAGUAACACGUGGAUAACAUACCUAUAAGACUGGGAUAACUUCGGGAAACCGGAGCUAAUACCGGAUAAUAUAUUGAACCGCAUGGUUCAAUAGUGAAAGACGGUUUUGCUGUCACUUAUAGAUGGAUCCGCGCCGCAUUAGCUAGUUGGUAAGGUAACGGCUUACCAAGGCAACGAUGCGUAGCCGACCUGAGAGGGUGAUCGGCCACACUGGAACUGAGACACGGUCCAG